rnacentral:rRNA from 2 species
AAAUUGAAGAGUUUGAUCAUGGCUCAGAUUGAACGCUGGCGGCAGGCCUAACACAUGCAAGUCGAACGGUAACAGGAAGCAGCUUGCUGCUUCGCUGACGAGUGGCGGACGGGUGAGUAAUGUCUGGGAAACUGCCUGAUGGAGGGGGAUAACUACUGGAAACGGUGGCUAAUACCGCAUAACGUCGCAAGACCAAAGAGGGGGACCUUCGGGCCUCUUGCCAUCAGAUGUGCCCAGAUGGGAUUAGCUGGUUGGUGAGGUAACGGCUCACCAAGGCGACGAUCCCUAGCUGGUCUGAGAGGAUGACCAGCCACACUGGAACUGAGACACGGUCCAGACUCCUACGGGAGGCAGCAGUGGGGAAUAUUGCACAAUGGGCGCAAGCCUGAUGCAGCCAUGCCGCGUGUAUGAAGAAGGCCUUCGGGUUGUAAAGUACUUUCAGCGGGGAGGAAGGUGUUGU